AAUAUUGGACAAUGGGCGAAAGCCUGAUCCAGCCAUGCCGCGUGUGUGAAGUAGGUCUUCGGAUUGUACAGCACUUUAAGUUGGGAGGAAGGGGUGUAGAUUAAUACUCUGCAAUUUUGACGUUACCAACAGAAUAAGCACCUGCUAACUUCGUUCUAGCAGCCGCGGUAAUACGAAGGGUGCAAUCGUUAACCGGAAUUACUGGGCGUAAAGCGCGCGUAGGUGGUUCAGUAAGAUGGGUGUGAAAUCCCCGGGCUUAACCUGGGAACUGCUUUCAUAACUGCUGAGCUAGAGUAUGGCAGAGGGUGGUGGAAUUUCCUGUGUAGCGGUGAAAUGCGUAGAUAUAGGAAGGAACACCAGUGGCGAAGGCGACCACCUGGGCUAAUACUGACACUGAGGUGCGAAAGCGUGGGGAGCAAAC
rnacentral:rRNA from 1 species